rnacentral:lncRNA from 1 species
CCUCAGCCUCCCAAAGUGCCCGGAUUACAGGUGUGAGCCACCAUGCCCGGCCAUUGGCCGGCUUUUAUUAUUUCAUCUAGUUCCCUGGUUGUCGACAAGGUGAUGCUUCCCAGAUUUUCAUCUCAGCCCCGACCCCUCUCUCAGACUCCAGCCGGUACAUCCAGUUGCCCCUGGCAUCACCCCUGCGGAUACCUCGUACUUCACAUAUAUGCAUGGAGUACUUGAUUUCCCAAGAACCCCCUCAAAGAGCUGCCCCAUUCUGUCUGACCUCAUCUCCCCUUCAUUCUCUUCACCCCACACUGGCCUCCGUGCUCUUCCCCAACCCACCAAACCCCGUCGCACCUCAAGGCCUUUGCACUGACUGUUUCCUCUCCCAGAAUGCUCCUCUCCUAGGCCUUUGUGCAGCUAAUUCCUUCCCCUUCUUCAGGUUUCUGCUCAAAUAUCACCUCCUCCGAGAAGCCCUCCCUGACCACCCCAACUAGGCAAGGCUUCCACCUGCUCUUCUCUGCCCUGACAGCGCAUUCUUCACCUUCAAGGCACUUAGUGCUGUUUGUCAAUUAACUAGUUACUUGUUGAAUUGUAACUAGUUAAUUGACAUCCCUUCCCCCACAAGGCUGCAAGCCCCGUGGGGACAGGAAUGGUGUCUGUUCUUUCACCACAUUACACCCCAGUGCACAGGGCUUGGCCAUUGAAGGCAUCUCAUAAACAUCUGUUGAAAGAACAGGUGGUAGAAAGCAAUGAGAGGCUCCGGACCUUGUUUGCUUUAUAAAAAUUAUAUUUUUUAUCAGCCUGGGUAACAUGGGGAGACCCCCAUCUCUACAAAACAUUUAAAAAUUAACUGGGCAUGGUGGUGUGUGCCUGUGGUCCCAGCUACUUGGGAGGCUGAGGUGGGAGAAUCACUUGAGCCCAGGAGGUUGAGGUUACAGUGAGCUAUGGUGGUGCCACUGCACUACAGCCUGGUGACAGAGAGAAACCCUGUCUCAAAAAAAAAAUUACACUUAGGCUGGAUGUAGUGGCUCAUACCUGUAAUCCCAGCACUUUGGGAGGCCACAGUGGGUGGAUCACCUGAGAUCAGGAGUUGGAGACCAGCCUGGGCAACAUGGUGAAACCUCGUCUCUAGUAAAAAUACAAAAAAAAAUUAUUUGGGCGUGGUGUCACAUGCCUGUAAUCCCAGUUACUGGGGAGGCUGAGGCAGGAGAAUGGCUUGAACUUAAGAGGCAGAGGUUGCAGUGAGCCGAGAUUGCACCACUGCACUCCAGUCUGGGCAACAGAGUGAGACUGUCUCAAAAAUUACACUUAAAAGUGUAAUAGGCUGGGCACAGUGGCUCAUGCCUG